UCUGCCAUCAUCACUUCUAUUGUCACAUUGGAUUCUGUGGGUUGGACUGUGAAUCAUCUCAAGUUAUGAUCAGACUCUAAGCAUUCAAAGGAACAACACUUGACUCAGGCCCCUCAGAAUGAAAUAGUGGACAACAGGUAAAUUCUCAGUGGACAACUUCUAGGAUAGCAGGAAUGUAGGGAUUAUAUUUGUUGUGGUGAAUACGGCAGGACAAGAUGCAAAGAAGAAGACCACCCAUCUGUCUUAUUGUCACAGUUGUUAUUCUAUCAAUGGCUCUGACUUUCCUGAAUGGUAAGUGCUAUUUGUUGGGGUGGUUUGGGUGAUUGAAGCAACUAAAGAUACUUCUUUUUUUUUUUCAUUUUAUUAUUGUUUAUUUAUUUAUUCAUUCAUUUAUUAUAAUUUUUUUUUACAAUUUAUUAAACGUUAAACAGUUUGGACAACAUCCAAUACUUUCAAAAGAAAGCACUAUUAGAUUACUUCAAAUAGGAGCACUUGAUUUACAAUAUAUUCAUAAGUGCUUCUCGUUGAGGCAGUCUCAUCUGUGUAUUUGCCUUUACCGUCUUCUGUGACUGGUGCAAUGUGUCUCUGGAUGUUACCCCAAUUGUAUCACAUAUACUUCAGUUUUAAUGUCAUUUUCUGCAAGCUUUGGUACCUUUCAGUGACGGCAAUAAUAGGAAAUGUUGAAACCGUAAUAUUGUUUCACUUCAUAAAGAUUUAGUUAAACUGUUCCCAGUGUAUUUGGUGUAAUUUAUUCUGUCUACUGUUUUUUCUUAUAUUCACAUGAACUGUUUAACGAUCAUCAGCGCUUUUGUCCCUUUGGAUUUCGAUGUGAGUUGGAUGCGAACCAUGUAGACUCUACAUCAUCACAAUCAAAACACUUGGAAGAAUUGUGUUCAUCCCUCCAGGAAAUUGAUGCUUCCUAAAUUUGAAAAUGGCACCGAGGUAUGAUUCAUGCUGGAGGAGAAAAGUCAAGAGCCAGCAAAGUACUUGCAAAAGAUACAGAAGAAAGCUAGACACACGAGGAGUAGAGAAUGCAGAAUCAAAGUGGAGGCCAGGUGACUAUUGCACCGAAGGAAUACCUUGUCUUCCUGAACAUAUUACAUUUACACCAGUUAUGAGUCAGUUCUGAGAUUUUGGCAGUUUGCUUUAAUACAGCUAAAAUACUGUCUUCCUUGUCUAAAUGGCUGCAUUACAAGAAAGUGAUCAUUUUCUGAAAUUGAAAGACACAUGGAGCUGAGUGAUAUUAAUGAUAGACUCUAACUGAUUAUCAUCCUCGUUACUAAUAAGCUGUUUUCCCAAUGUCUAUGUCCUAUUUAAGAGCAAAUAAUAUUGUUAGAUUAUUGAUGUUGAAAUAUCCAGUGAAAAAUAUGUAGAUUUGCUUUUGUCUGCAUUAUGUAACCCCAAUUUUCACCAUGUAAAUAUCAAAACAUAUUUAAAAUGUCUUGGAAGUUUGUUUUUGUCAUGCACAAGCAUAUCAAAUACAUUACAAUGAGGACCAUGUAUUUGAGUUUCUUUAUGAUUUUUUUUAAAGAAACCAUUAAGUUUGGAUGAGAAAGUGUUGGAGAUCUUUAUUUGUGCUGUCUGAGCUCACCAUGAGAUGCACA